rnacentral:lncRNA from 1 species
AAACAAACCAAGCUUGUCCCAGGCGAUGAUAAAUGAUAAGUACCACUUAAUGAACAAGAGAUCAAAUCCCUCUGCGAUCUCGGGUUAACCUCAGUAGCAUAGGAAUUUGAGGGGCAAACCCGUUUCAACUAAACAAAUGGGUCAGGGGCAAACCAGAUCAAGACUCGAAAAAUACCAACCACCCAUCAAUGGAGGAUGAGCAACCAUGAAUAGACGCAAUGAAAAAAUGCUCAAAUCACACGAUCAAUGGACAAACAAAUGCACCAAGAAGCCUAAAAACUACAAAAAAUCAAAAAAGGAAGAAGAAAAUUGGCAUAUGCAUGAACAGAAGAAGAGAAAAAAUUUGCAAACAAAAACUUAUAGUGUUGAGUGGAAAGAAGCAGUCGUCGAUCGAUGGGUAGAUUAGAACUAGUGUUGGGAAGAAGCCGACGACGGAAUGGAAGUGGACAGCAUUUUGGGGUUGCGCACCAUCUCUCUCUAGAAGCUCAUAGAAAGACGGUGUGAAUAGUGGCAUGGAAGACAAACGGUCAUACUUAUAAAAGCUGAAGAGGCAGGAAACAACCCAAACGCGCCCCUAGGGCUCAUUUCACGAGCUAAUCAUCGCACCCAAAAUAAUGAGAAACAAGCACGUGGCAGCACUCACACUGUGCAUCUAAGCCAAACAAGCCUCAGGAGUAGAUAGGAAAGCCUCGACAUCAGUGCUUAAAUCAAGCUCAUAAACUAAUCAAACCCCGACACGUAGCGCAACAUUAGGGAAUAAUUAGUUGAGCUCCUAGCGAGCACCGAACUCUAUCCCACGAGGUUUUCUAAGUAUACUUAGCAAAACAUUUUUAGAAAAGAGUUAGCCGAGCUCUUAGCAGGCAUCAAACUCUGUCCCAAAAGGUUUGCUAAGUACACUUAGCAGAAAUUUUUUAGGGAAGAGUUAGCUGAGCUCUUAGCGAGCACCGAACUCUGUUCCACAAGGUUUGUUAAGUACACUUAGCAUAAUUUUUUUAGGGAAGAGUUAGCCAAGCUCUUAGCGAGCACCAAACUCUGUCCCACAAGGUUUUCUAAGUACACAUAGCAUAAAUUUUUUAAGAGUUAGCCAAGUUCGUAGCAAGUACUGAACUCUGUCCCACAAGUUUUACUAAGUACACUUAGUAUAAUUUUUUAAGGAAGUUAGCUGAGCUCUUAGUGAAUACCGAACUCUGUCCCACGAGGUUUGCUAAGUAUACUUAGCAGUCAUUUAUUAGGUAAGAGUUAGCAGAGCUCUAUGCGAGCGCCAAACCCUGUUCCAUGAGUUUUGCUCAAAUAUAAUUAGCAAAAAUAAUUUUAAAAGAGUUAGCCAAACUCAAGGUGAGUUCCAAGCUCUAAGAUUACGUAAGUACACGUACCAAAUAUUUUCAUGGAAGAGUUAGGCAAGCUCAGUUUGAGUUCCCAUCUCUACCAUGUAGAUCUUGCCUAACUAUACUUGGGGCCUAUAAAGAAGGGGAAGAUUUCAAGUAAAAAGUGAAAUACAAACAACGUCCAAAAGAAAAAUUAAUUACAGAAAAUCGUUCAAGUACAAGAUUUUUUGAGUGCAAAACUAUGUAAAUAUAGAAUUGCUCAAAAGCAGAAUUGUUCAGACUACAAAAAUUAUUCAAACUACAUAAUCAGCUGAGCUCCAUCAGAGAAACCAACUAGCCCUCAUGGGGGACGACUGAGCUUUGUUGGGGUGUCCUUGUGGAUAGUUGCCUUGAGAUAAUGGAUAUGAUCGACUGGGAACGUAGUCACCCAAAUGAUGUCCAUGAUUUGACAAAAUGACCGCAAUUAAAACGGAAGCCGUAAAGACCGCAGUUAAAAAGGUGAAAAGGUGGGGGGGAAAUUCACGCGUGGGCAACCGCCUCUGGAACCAACAGAGUUCGAACAUAUCCAGUUCACAUGACCUCGAAGGGCAUUAAAUCAGCCCAUGCGAACUGAAGGACAAUUGUAAGAGGAUAAAAUAAAUGACUACAAGCUCGGGCCCCACCAAGAUAGAGGCCAUCUCCAAGAAAAUCACUAUGAAGCAAAGUAAGGUGGACGACGUGCACCGGAGCUCAAUCGGAGCCCUACCAUGUACUUACAUCGGAUGGACUAGAAAUUUGCGUCACAUCCGAGUUGUCGCUGUAUAGUAAGCUCGGUUAGGUGACCAAAAGAAAACAGUCGCUAGUGAUCCAGAGGUAUGUCAAGUGGCAGAGGAUAACUUGCCCGACGAGGUUUCCUUUGACAACCUCCAUGCCUGGGACAAGACAUCUACGGUAUGGAGACGUGUUACCAACUAAGCCUUAGAAGCAUAGUUGGCAAUCACCUACCAACUGCGCUAUAUAAGGAGAACCUAUGUUCCAAAAAAAGGUACGCGUUUUUAACUAUUGAAAACAUACACACUCUCUCUAUAUAUAUUCUCCGGUCAUCUAACUUGACUGUUGGAGAACCGCUUCCCAGAAACGGCUCUGGCGGCCGAUCUCAUGUGCUGUAGUUAGGACCUGAUCGUGCUAUUGACUGG